rnacentral:lncRNA from 1 species
GAUAAGACCUUUACUAGAUAUUGCACAUGAUUGCAGUCGCACAAUCCCUAUUGUAGCUAGAGAAACUCAUUUUCCGAUACAUUAUCUUCUUUGGUAAUUGUGCUCCUCAUUUUGUAAUUGUGUUGCUUCUUUGGACAAUGUUGAAUAGUCUGCUUCACUUCUCUACAAUAUAAACACAAUCCUUCAUGAUGACAUUGAGUCUUUUCUUGCUUCAUGAGAGGUUUAAAACAUAUCAUAUCAAUUUAUAUUAGUUUCGGCUUUGACAAAUACGUUUCAAAAAACUUGAGAGCUACUGCCAUUAUUUGACUUGUUCUUUUCUAAUCAAAUCUUUAUUCUUGAUGCCUUCCAAAUAAAUUAUUGUUGCAUGCAAUGGCUUGAAUAAUAAAUUGUUCCAAAGAUUCUACUUUCGACAUUAUUAAUAACAAAUCUUUGAUGCUAUCCUUCAAUCCAUAUCAAAAUUGGUUGAUAAGAGCUUUAUCGUUCUAGUCCACGUCGCAAGUAAGGUUUUGGAAUUCGACAGCCUAUAUAAUGUCUAAUCAUGGUCCUUGCCGUAAG